UGUGAGUAUGGGCCUGUGUUGAAUAGAGGGCACACUGCUGUUCCUCACUACAGUUUGUUCCUUCCGCCAGCAGGGGGCCCCCCAGCCUUGGUCCCAGUUUGACUGGAGCAGCAGUGGCCUUGGCGUCACCCGUCUGGAUGAACUAGACAGUGACACCAGCAGCCGUCCAGCUGACACCCUGAACCACCUCAUGUCUACUAUGGAGAACACCACCACCUCCACCAGGAAACCUCAUAGGGAUGAGGAGGACCAGCUGAGUGAGGAGGCAGCCAGGGUGAUCUGUGGGCUGGCUGACCUGUCCUUCAUGAAGGCUAAGGUCCUAAUGUUCCCCAUCACCCUCACACCAGCCGCUGGCUCUGGUACACUGCUAGAGUGAUGCACACAUACACAUGGAUGGAUGCACACACACAUAAACACAGAAGACUUGUCCGCUUCAAAGCUAGAUUGAACAUUAAUGCAAAGUCAAUAUGUUGAUUAUCAGUAAUAUGGUGAAAU